rnacentral:lncRNA from 10 species
UUCACUAUCAUGGGAACAGUAUGGGAAAACCCACCCCCAUGAUUCAAUUACCUCUCACCGUGUUCCUCCCAAGACACAUGGGGACAAUGGGAGCUACAAUUCAAGAGGAGAUUUGGGUGGGGACACAGCAAAACAAUAUCAAUUUUUGCUUUUUUUUUUUUUUUUUUUUUCCAGAUGGAGUUUCGCUCUUGUUCCCCUGACUGGAAUUCAGUGACGCAAUCUCGGCUCACCACAACCUCCGCCUCCUGGGUUCAAGCGAUUCUCCUGCCUCAGCCUCCCGAGUAGCUGGGAUUACAGGUAUGUGCCACCACACCCAGUUAAUUUUGUAUUUUUAGAGGAAACGGGGUUUCUCCAUGUUGGUCAGGCUGGUCUCAAACUCCUGACCUCAGGUGAUCUGCUCGCCUUGGCCUCCCAAGCUGGUAGGGUUACAGGUAUAUCAAUCUUAAAGUAUAGGGCUGUCUGGGAAAAGGCUGGAUACUGGAACAGUGAUCUGAGUCCUGCUAUGAAGGAAAGUAGGGAAUACAUUAUCAGUCACAGCCUUAUCAGCAUGAGUGGGAGAGACUUGGCGUUUUCUAAUUGUUGAUGCCAGGUAAGGAAACUUAGCUGAAAUAUGGGUGUAAAUAUGAAUCCCUUAUGUCUUUAUACUUUUCAGAGUUCUUUGACAUUGAAUCUCAUUGGUUCUUCACACAAACUGUUGCAGUUUUCAACACAGAAAAUAUGAUUCUCUCUCUCGCUCUCUCUCUCGUUUUUUUUUUUUUUUUGCAGAUGGAGAGACAGAGGGAAGAAGAGACUUGGAAUCACUCCGUCCUGGCUGUGGGCUGGAUAGCAAGUUUUGGAAGCGCUGAACACCCACACAGAGCUGGCUGCUCUCAGGCGAGGAGGCAUCUUCACUAAGGAGAGGAGCCAGUGACAGAAGAGGCUCCUGGAAAUCCCAGACCAACUCUUCUCUCAGCUCUGCCUUAAUCAGUGAGAAAAGUUUUGGCAAAAUGAAAGGAUACAGCUGCUGGAAAUAGAGGAGGACACGACGC